GAUCCCUGCCUACUUGAGGCUUUCCAAAGCAUUACAACCACCAAGAACAAUCAUACACGCUCAGGCAGAGGCGAUGAAGAUAAUGGACAGACCACAGGACUCAUUCUUCUAUCAAAGGCUGAAUAGACUAUUGCAGUCUCUGCUAUACUGUGCACGAUGAAGAGGCCAGCCAAACUUCCACACUUAGGCUGAACAGUCCCAGCUCUCACUGCCUCUCCUCAUGGAAGAGGUGCUCCAGUUUCUUUGUCAUCUUUGUUCCCACUUUCACUGAACUCUUUUUCCAAUACAUC